GAGAGAGAGAGAGCGGCUAACGGGAGUUGUCUACUUUUGACGAACUACUGAGGAAAGUCCCCCCAUCAAUUGGGUACGCAGCCACAUUCACUUGUGGAUGGCGAGAGUCAUGGCAAUGGCACAGAAACGAUACGUCCUCCUGGGAGCAAUGAUGCAUGCUGAGCAAUGUUCAGGAAAUGACGAUGGAACGGUGAAUCCCUGCGGAUGCAAGUCAGAACAGAAGAAUAUAUGUAACCCAAUGCAUCUUCGGGUUUGACGCAGUAGCUGAAUGCCGCAAGAACAGAAGGGGGCUUACUCCUCUCACUC
rnacentral:RNase_P_RNA from 1 species